rnacentral:lncRNA from 1 species
CAUAAUGGCUGCUAUUUGUUGGCAACAGGUCCACCUUGGCCCCUGGAGCCCUACCUCCACUAGUUUGUUCUGCAUGCCAGUGUGGCCAGCUCACAAGGCCAUGGCGAACUUGCGGUUUUUCUGUUCCUGCUUAUCCGUCUGAGACACAUGUAUCCCACGGGAAUGCCUUGACCUUUUCUGGUCUGAUGGACUUAUUGUUAAGGGAGGUUUCGGUACCUGACAAUAAUAGAUGUUGAAACUAAAUUUCUCCCCCCUCCCUCCUGCUUUUGGGUAGUUUUCCACUUCUGCUGCUUGGGGUAUAAAAAAAGGUGUGUUAGCAAUAAAGAUUAUUAUUGACUCCUGG